ACAAUUACAAUUGUAGCUUCUGCUUUGAAAUAUUUCAAUGUUAUUUUAAAUAACUAAUUAACAGUUAAAACAUCAAAACUUUUCGAUUCUGUGUUUCAUCUAUAAACAUUUAAAAUUAAUAAACGUGUUGGAUAGACAUUUACUGAAAUAGUUGACCAGGAAAUUUGCCUAACAAAGAGAUCAUUCGAUCUUGUACGAGUGUUUUUUAAUUGUCCAGCUAAUCAAUUUACAUUCAAAGACUAGUCUAGUUGAAUUGUGUUAUUUAAUUCUAACCUAGCAUUGACUCACCAGUGAUAGAUGACAAUGGAAAUGUGUAAAUUAAUGUUUAAUGUUUAUCAACCUGUUACCCUGGUCAGUAUCACAAGAAGAUGACGACAACUCAGUGGAUGUUGACAGCAGCGCUGACGAUGAUGAGGGGGAGGCCGAUACUGUUGAUGUUGGAGACGAAGAUGAUGAAACCUCCGAUGAUGAUGAGGGAGAGCUGACUGAUGAAGAAGAUGAAGAACCCACCAUCUUUAUGAGCACAAGCCAAUUAAUUGCAUUGAUUCAAACGAUAACUCGUUUAGUGGAGGAAAAUUGCGGGUCCGACACAAAAUAUGAUCCAUUUCAAGAUCCUGAUGUAAACAAAUACUGGCAAUAAACAGUUAAAGCAAACAAUCGAUUGAUCACUUAUGAAAGCGAAACUGCAACUAAAAACUGCGACUGUUUGAUGUCCAUAAACUGAUUUACUGAGCGAUCAACCGGCUUCUAUUGAAAAAAUACUAUUUUACCUCUAAUUGAAAUAAUAAAGGAUUUAAUUGUAAAAA